CGACGCCCGCCCGCACUGGUCGUGGUCGAGUGGUCGCGGUCGUGUGCCUCGCCGGCCGCCACCAUGACGGCCUACCAUCACCACCAAGAAUCGAUGUGUCGUUACACUGUGUACCGGGCGCCAUCAUGUAUAUUGUAGAACAGUAGCUACCAACGUAAGCCACAAUAGACGACACGCUACCAUGUCAAUAACCAGUGAAGCAAUUACUCUUCAGAUCUGCGGACAUCGCCACAACAUGGAUUCACAUUAAG